rfam:Canis lupus familiaris chromosome 38, whole genome shotgun sequence.
GAUGGCUUUGGCAGUACUAUACUAAAAUUGGAACAAUACAGAGGAGAUUAGCAUGGUUCCUGCCCACGGGUGACAUGCAAAUUAGUGAAGCAUUCCAUAUUAAA